rnacentral:rRNA from 1 species
GCAGCACAGAGGAGCUUGCUCCUUGGGGUGGCGAGUGGCGGACGGGUGAGGAAUGCAUCGGAAUCUGCCUAUUUGUGGGGGAUAACGUAGGGAAACUUACGCCAAUACCGCAUACGUCCUACGGGAGAAAGUGGGGGACCUUCGGGCCUCACGCAGAUAGAUGAGCCGAUGCCGGAUUAGCUAGUUGGCGGGGUAAAGGCCCACCAAGGCGACGAUCCGUAGCUGGUCUGAGAGGAUGAUCAGCCACACUGGAACUGAGACACGGUCCAGACUCCUACGGGAGGCAGCAGUGGGGAAUAUUGGACAAUGGGCGCAAGCCUGAUCCAGCCAUGCCGCGUGUGUGAAGAAGGCCUUCGGGUUGUAAAGCACUUUUGUCCGGAAAGAAAAGCGCUCGAUUAAUACUCGGGUGUUAUGACGGUACCGGAAGAAUAAGCACCGGCUAACUUCGUGCCAGCAGCCGCGGUAAUACGAAGGGUGCAAGCGUUACUCGGAAUUACUGGGCGUAAAGCGUGCGUAGGUGGUUUGUU